rnacentral:rRNA from 1 species
CCUACUGGAGGCUGCAGUGGGGAAUAUUGGACAAUGGGCGAAAGCCUGAUCCAGCCAUGCCGCGUGUGUGAAGAAGGCCUUCGGGUUGUAAAGCACUUUCAGUGGGGAAGAAAGCCUUGGGGCUAAUACCCUCGAGGAAGGACAUCACCCACAGAAGAAGCACCGGCUAACUCCGUGCCAGCAGCCGCGGUAAUACGGAGGGUGCGAGCGUUAAUCGGAAUUACUGGGCGUAAAGCGCGCGUAGGCGGUCUGAUAAGCCGGUUGUGAAAGCCCCGGGCUCAACCUGGGAACGGCAUCCGGAACUGUCAGGCUAGAGUGCAGGAGAGGAAGGUAGAAUUCCCGGUGUAGCGGUGAAAUGCGUAGAGAUCGGGAGGAAUACCAGUGGCGAAGGCGGCCUUCUGGACUGACACUGACGCUGGGGUGCGAAAGCGUGGGUAGCAAACAGGAUUAGAUACCCCGGUAGUC